GGGGAAUAUUGCACAAUGGGCGAAAGCCUGACGCAGCGACGCCGCGUGGGGGAAGAAGGCCUUCGGGUUGUAAACCUCUUUCAGCAGGGACGAAGCCACUCGGGUUAAUAGCCCAGAGGGUGACGGUACCUGCAGAAGAAGCCACGGCUAACUACGUGCCAGCAGCCGCGGUAAUACGUAGGUGGCAAGCGUUGUCCGGAUUUACUGGGCGUAAAGAGCGCGCAGGCGGUCGUGCAAGUCGCGUGUGAAAGCCCCCGGCUCAACUGGGGAGGGUCACGCGAUACUGCUCGACUCGAAGGCAGGAGAGGGAAGCGGAAUUCCCGGUGUAGUGGUGAAAUGCGUAGAUAUCGGGAGGAACACCAGUGGCGAAGGCGGCUUCCUGGCCUGUUCUUGACGCUGAGGCGCGAAAGCUAGGGGAGCAAA
rnacentral:rRNA from 1 species